rnacentral:misc_RNA from 1 species
AAAGUCGUAACAAGGUUUCCGUAGGUGAACCUGCGGAAGGAUCAUUAACAAAUCUGCCACAAAAGCGCGGUAGGCCGUUAGGCCUGCCGUGCUAUAUUGACCCGAGCUGGCAUAUAGAUAAUAUAUGCCGGUUUGGUGGGUGGGGCGCAAGCCCUGCUCGGUUGUCAGUGCGUAUGUACUGCGGCCACAUAGACGCUUGUAUGUUUGACAGAGUUACACAGUUGUAUACUAUAUAGACAACUUUUAACAAUGGAUCUCUUGGCUCUU